AGGUGGGGCUAUAUGGCAGUGACAUCUGUAACCCAGUUGACCAACGGGACCGAUAAAGGUGAUCUGGCUCUCUAUGCUGGUGUCCCCUUCCUCCUUCACUGUUCUAUGUGAGGCACUACUGAGUGCUGACCUAAAAAGAAUGAUCUUCCUGGGAUGUAAGAGGACUGGACUUCAUUCAAGAAUAUGCGAGUAGCUGUGCUUUCUUGUUACGAUCUCUAAGCAAACUCUCAGUAUCCAUUACAAGGUGUUUGAAUGUUCUCACCUUCUAAAAUGAAAGAAAACUUUUUGUUGGCAAUUUAUAAUAAACCUUUUU
rnacentral:snRNA from 1 species